GCCCCCUUUGCCCAUCGCUCGGCCCAAGAUGGCGGCUCCCAGCGCGGCGUGAGAGAGCCGCGUUCCGGCUCCGCCCCGCUCCGACGGCAGCCGCGAGGGGCCGCGCUCCGCCGAACGCGGGAGGGGCGGACGGGGGCCGGGAGGGGCCGCGGGGCGCGCGAGCCCAGCAGCCCCAUGGCGGCAGCGGCUCCGGGCGGGGGGUCCCCGCUGCCCCCCCCCGCGUUGACGCCGCGUUGGAAGCGGGUGGUGGGGUGGUCUGGGCCCGUCCCCCGCCCCCGGCACGGGCACCGCGCCGUCGCCAUCAAGGAGCUCAUCGUGGUCUUCGGAGGAGGCAAUGAGGGCAUCGUGGAUGAGCUGCAUG